rnacentral:lncRNA from 1 species
CAACAACCGAUAAAUGGACAGUUGUGUCAUCGUGUAUGAGCACAGGGAGAAGUUAUGCAGGGGUCACAGUUAUUGAUAAACCAUUAUGAGCCUGAAGGACAUUUUCAGCAUAUUUAUACAUGAGAAACAGCCUUCAACAAGUAUUUGUGAAGUGACUGAGAAUCUAGCACUUCUCCACUUGUAGCUGCACUUUAAGUCUCAGCAGAAGAUACGAUCGUCUGCCUUUAUAGGCCUCAGAUACUGAAGAUUAUUUUUGGUAGAAGCACCGUGUAGGCUUUUUCUGCAAUGAGCAGCAGCUGACUGAAUUUUCAUAAGAAACUUGGACUGCAGGACUUAAUCUGUAGUCUUUAGACAACAGUUGCUUUCAUAAAGACUAGUUCUUAUCAACCUUGAAUGACUACAGAUUAUUUUGUGAAGGAGGAUGAAGUAAUGUGUGUUCUUGUAAAAUUAAAUUUUAUCUUUAUUUCUUCUAAAAAUCUGUAUACCAGGAACUGAAAAUCUUUGAACAGAUAUUAAAAUCUACGUAAGUAUACAAACUAGUUGAGGGAUACACUGUUUGCUUUUAUAAAAUAACUUUGAUUACAUGAAUAUAAUAAAUUAUGUGCAUAUAAAUGUGUGUCUAUAUGCUUUCCUUUAAAUAUGUUUGAAAAGAUGUUUGAAACUUGAUUAUACUAUUUAUAAUUGGCACAGUACUUUGAAUUAUGCCAGUACUACAUUGUAAAACAGAGUUGUAUUUUUUGAUAUUUAACAAUGCUUAACACUUUAAAUGCCACUUCUGAGGAAUGGACCUGGUGUAACACACUUGAAUAUGUGUGAUGCCAAACUUUUUAAAAUACAAUAUAAAUUAUGCUUAUUUAUUAUUUUCUUUAGUUUAAUCUUGGUCAUGUUUUGGUGUGUAUUUUUAAUUUUUUUCUUAAAUUAACACUUUGGCAUGAACAUUACUGCAGGUUUUUGAUGAAUAUAAUGAAUGUAUGGAAUUCAAUUGAAUUUGCAUGGUCUUCGGAAUUUUUUCUGUGUGUAUAAAUUUAGCUGCUAUUAACAGAAGAGAGAACUUUCUGUGAGUAGCCAUGUGUGUUGAUCAGAUACAGUUUUUCUGAGAUCUUCAAUUAAUCUCACUUUAAAAAUGACCAAAACAUGUCUUUCUUGAAUUAACUUUGAAUAAAAGUUUGUAUAUU